rnacentral:rRNA from 1 species
GAUUCGCGAGUAGCCAUCCACAAUCUGUUCUCAGUUCGGAUCGCAGUCUGCAACUCGACUGCGUGAAGCUGGAAUCGCUAGUAAUCGCGGAUCAGCAUGCCGCGGUGAAUACGUUCCCGGGCCUUGUACACACCGCCCGUCACACCACGAGAGUUUGUAACACCCGAAGUCGGUUUGUCUUACCUUUUAGGAGCCAGCCGCCGAAGGUGGGACAGAUGAUUGGGGUGAAGUCGUAACAAGGUAGCCGUAUAGGUUU